CGCCUGUUUAACAAAAACAUUGCUUUUUGUAUUCUAUAAAAAGUAUCUUCUGCCCUAUGAAAUAUAUUAAAUGGCUGCAGUAUAUUGACUGUGCAAAGGUAGCAUAGUAAUUAGCUUCUUAAUUAGGAGCUUGUAUGAAUGGAUGUAUGAGAUAUAUGUUUUAUUAAUUUUAUUAUUAAAAAUUAAAUUUUAAGUUAAAAUGCUUAAUUGUUUUUCUGGACGAUAAGACCCUAUAGAACUUUAAAUUAGCAAUAUUUAAUCAUUUUUUGUUUUUAUAUUUGUAUAAAUUAGCAUAUUUUUUGCUGGGGUGGUGAAUAAAUUUAAAAAUUUAUUUUUAAUUUUAAUUUUAUGUGUAGAUUUUGAUUUUCUUGAGAAAUUUAAAGAGAAAGUUACCUUAGGGAUAACAGCGUAAUCUUAAUGGUAAGUUCACAUUUAUAUUAAGUUUUGCGACCUCGAUGUUGAAUUAAGAUUAGUUUAAGAAGCAGCCUUCUUUAAUCUCAGUCUGUUCGACUCUUAAAUUCUUACUUGAUCUGAGUUCAGACCGG
rnacentral:rRNA from 1 species